rnacentral:rRNA from 1 species
AACGAACGCUGGCGGCAGGCCUAACACAUGCAAGUCGAGCGCUCACCUUCGGGUGGGAGCGGCGCACGGGUGAGUAACACGUGGGAACCUACCUUGAAGUACGGAAUAACUGAGGGAAACUUCAGCUAAUACCGUAUACGUCCUACGGGGGAAAGAUUUAUCGCUUCAAGACGGGCCCGCGUUGGAUUAGCUAGUUGGUGAGGUAAUGGCUCACCAAGGCAACGAUCCAUAGCUGAUUUGAGAGAAUGAUCAGCCACACUGGGACUGAGACACGGCCCAGACUCCUACGGGAGGCAGCAGUGGGGAAUAUUGGACAAUGGGCGCAAGCCUGAUCCAGCCAUGCCGCGUGAGUGAUGAAGGCCUUCGGGUUGUAAAGCUCUUUCAGAUGGGACGAUGAUGACGGUACCAUCAGAAGAAGCCCCGGCUAACUUCGUGCCAGCCGCCGCGGUAAUAC